rnacentral:tRNA from 1 species
GCAGUGGUAGGUCAGUGGUAGAAUUCUUGCCUUCCAUGCAGGAUACUCCGGUUUAAUUCCUGGUCAGUGUG